rnacentral:rRNA from 1 species
AGAGUUUGAUCCUGGCUCAGGAUGAACGCUAGCGGCAGGCCUAACACAUGCAAGUCGAGGGGCAGCACGGUGUAGCAAUACACUGGUGGCGACCGGCGCACGGGUGCGUAACGCGUAUGCAACCUACCCAUAACAGGGGGAUAACACUGAGAAAUUGGUACUAAUACCCCAUAACAUCAGGACCGGCAUCGGUUCUGGUUGAAAACUCCGGUGGUUAUGGAUGGGCAUGCGUUGUAUUAGCUGGUUGGUGAGGUAACGGCUCACCAAGGCAACGAUACAUAGGGGGACUGAGAGGUUAACCCCCCACAUUGGUACUGAGACACGGACCAAACUCCUACGGGAGGCAGCAGUGAGGAAUAUUGGUCAAUGGACGCAAGUCUGAACCAGCCAUGCCGCGUGCAGGAAGACGGCUCUAUGAGUUGUAAACUGCUUUUGUACUAGGGUAAACGCUCCUACGUGUAGGAGUCUGAAAGUAUAGUACGAAUAAGGAUCGGCUAACUCCGUGCCAGCAGCCGCGGUAAUACGGAGGAUCCAAGCGUUAUCCGGAUUUAUUGGGUUUAAAGGGUGCGUAGGCGGUUUGAUAAGUUAGAGGUGAAAUACCGGGGCUCAACUCCGGAACUGCCUCUAAUACUGUUGAACUAGAGAGUAGUUGCGGUAGGCGGAAUGUAUGGUGUAGCGGUGAAAUGCUUAGAGAUCAUACAGAACACCGAUUGCGAAGGCAGCUUACCAAACUAUAUCUGACGUUGAGGCACGAAAGCGUGGGGAGCAAACAGGAUUAGAUACCCUGGUAGUCCACGCAGUAAACGAUGAUAACUCGUUGUCGGCAAUACACAGUCGGUGACUAAGCGAAAGCGAUAAGUUAUCCACCUGGGGAGUACGUUCGCAAGAAUGAAACUCAAAGGAAUUGACGGGGGCCCGCACAAGCGGAGGAACAUGUG